rnacentral:rRNA from 1 species
UACGGGAGGCAGCAGUGAGGGAAUAUUGGUCAAUGGACGAGAGUCUGAACCAGCCAAGUCGCGUGAAGGAUGACUGCCCUAUGGGUUGUAAACUUCUUUUGUGCUAGAGUAAAAAAGAGUAUGUAUACUCUCUUGCAAGUAUAGUACGAAUAAGCAUCGGCUAACUCCGUGCCAGCAGCCGCGGUAAUACGGAGGAUGCGAGCGUUAUCCGGAUUUAUUGGGUUUAAAGGGUGCGUAGGCGGGAGUUUAAGUCAGCGGUGAAAGUUUGAGGCUCAACCUUAAAAUUGCCGUUGAAACUGGAUUUCUUGAGUGUAUUUGAAGUAGGCGGAAUUCGUUGUGUAGCGGUGAAAUGCAUAGAUAUAACGAAGAACUCCAAUUGCGCAGGCAGCUUACUAAACUACAACUGACGCUGAAGCACGAAAGCGUGGGUAUCAAACAGGAUUAGAUACCCUGGUAGUCCACGCAGUAAACGAUGAUUACUAGCUGUUUGUGAUAUUACAAUAAGUGGCUAAGCGAAAGCGAUAAGUAAUCCACCUGGGGAGUACGCCGGCAACGGUGAAACUCAAAGGAAUUGACGG